rnacentral:rRNA from 1 species
AGUGAACGCUGGCGGUAGGCCUAACACAUGCAAGUCGAACGGCAGCACAGGAGAGCUUGCUCUCUGGGUGGCGAGUGGCGGACGGGUGAGGAAUACAUCGGAAUCUACUCUGUCGUGGGGGAUAACGUAGGGAAACUUACGCUAAUACCGCAUACGACCUACGGGUGAAAGCAGGGGACCUGCGGGCCUUGCGCGAUUGACUGAGCCGAUGUCGGACUAGCUAGUUGGCGGGGGAAAGGCCCACCAAGGCGACGAUCCGUAGCUUGUCUGAGAGGAUGAUCAGCCACACUGGAACUGAGACACGGUCCAGACUCCUACGGGAGGCAGCAGUGGGGAAUAUUGGACAAUGGGCGCAAGCCUGAUCCAGCCAUACCGCGUGGGUGAAGAAGGCCUUCGGGUUGUAAAGCCCUUUUGUUGGGAAAGAAAUCCAGCUGGCUAAUACCCGGUUGGGAUGACGGUACCCAAAGAAUAAGCACCGGCUAACUUCGUGCCAGCCGCCGCGGUAA